GACGAACGCUGGCGGCGUGCCUAAUACAUGCAAGUAGAACGCUGAAGCUUGGUGCUUGCACCGAGCGGAUGAGUUGCGAACGGGUGAGUAACGCGUAGGUAACCUGCCUGGUAGCGGGGGAUAACUAUUGGAAACGAUAGCUAAUACCGCAUAAUAGUAGAUGUUGCAUGACAUUUGCUUAAAAGGUGCAAUUGCAUCACUACCAGAUGGACCUGCGUUGUAUUAGCUAGUUGGUGAGGUAACGACUCACCAAGGCAACGAUACAGAGCCGACCUGAGAGGGUGAUCGGCCACACUGAGACUGAGACACGGCCCAGACGCCUACGGGAGGCAGCAGGAGGGAAACGUGGGCAAUGGGCGGAAGACUGAGCGAGCAACGCCGCGUGAGGGAAGAGGGUUGUCGGAUCGUAAAGCUCGGUUGUAAGAGAAGAACGAGUGUGAGAGUGGAAAGUUCACACUGUGACGGUAACUUACCAGAAAGGGACGGCUAACUACGUG
rnacentral:rRNA from 1 species